ACAUACGACCAUACCCACUGGAAUAUACGGGAUCCCGUCCGCUCUCCCCUAGUCAAACCAGUGAGGGCCGAACUAGUACUCAGGUGGGUGACCACUGGGGAAUCCUCGGUGUUGUAUGUU
rfam:Magnaporthe oryzae 70-15 chromosome 4, whole genome shotgun sequence.